rnacentral:tRNA from 1 species
GAUAAAGUGGCUGAAGUUUUAGGCGGUAAAUUGUAAAUUUACUUAUAAUCAAAAGAUUCUUUAUCA